CGAAGGGGAGCUAGCGUUGCUCGGAAUCACUGGGCGUAAAGGGCGCGUAGGCGGUGUGCCAAGUCAGGCGUGAAAGCCCCGGGCUCAACCUGGGAACGGCGCUUGAGACUGGCACGCUCGAGUUCGGGAGAGGAUGGUGGAAUUCCCAGUGUAGAGGUGAAAUUCGUAGAUAUUGGGAAGAACACCGAUGGCGAAGGCAGCCAUCUGGACCGACACUGACGCUGAGGCGCGAAAGCGUGGGUAGCAAACAGG
rnacentral:rRNA from 1 species